CUCAGCUCAGGACAGAGCUGUCUUGUGGCUUGUAGCACUGAGUGCAGCCCCUCAAGAAGCAGCUUUUCUCUCCAUUUCAGACAUUCUGAAUUCCCCACUUAGAGGUUUCUCUGACUUGGCCCACCACUGCAGCAAUGGUGAGAGCUCUACAGAAGCUUUUAUACAUGGAUUGCAAGGGGAUUACUCCACACUAAAGUGCUUUCUGAUCAAUGACUACAAGUUCUUUUUUUCACCUCCUUAUUACACGCUCAUCACCGAUGAAGAGAAGGAGAAUCUAAAAUCCAAAGUUCA